rnacentral:rRNA from 1 species
UGCUGUAACUCCCUGCAGUUCUCGCCUGGUUUCCCACUGAAGCUAAGCUGGGUUGAGCCUGGCCAGUACCUGGAUGGGAGACCCCUUGAGGAAAACUGAUGUUGCUGCUG